rnacentral:rRNA from 1 species
CCUACGGGUGGCUGCAGUGGGGAAUUUUACGCAAUGGGGGAAACCCUGACGUAGCGACACCGCGUGAGCGAAGAAGCCCUUUGGGGUGUAAAGCUCUGUCAACAGGAACGAAACAAAUGACGGUACCUGUGGAGGAAGCAUCGGCUAACUACGUGCCAGCAGCCGCGGUAAGACGUAGGAUGCAAGCGUUGUCCGGAUUUAUUGGGCGUAAAGAGUUCGUAGGCGGUUUGUUAAGUCUGAUGUUAAAGACCGGGGCUCAACCUCGGAAAUGCAUU